rnacentral:rRNA from 1 species
CCUACGGGAGGCAGCAGUGGGGAAUAUUGGGCAAUGGGCGCAAGCCUGACCCAGCAACGCCGCGUGAAGGAAGAAGGCUUUCGGGUUGUAAACUUCUUUUAAGAGGGAAGAGCAGAAGACGGUACCUCUUGAAUAAGCCACGGCUAACUACGUGCCAGCAGCCGCGGUAAUACGUAGGUGGCAAGCGUUGUCCGGAAUUACGGGGUGUAAAGGGCGGGCAGCCGGGAAGACAAGUCAGAUGUGAAAUCCCGCGGCUCAACCGCGGAACUGCAUUUGAAACUGUUUUUCUUGAGUACCGGAGAGGUCAUCGGACUUCCUUGUGUAGCGGUGAAAUGCGUAGAUAUAAGGAAGAACACCAGUGGCGAAGGCGGAUGACUGGACGGCAACUGACGGUGAGGCGCGAAAGCGUGGGGAGCAAACAGGAUUAGAUACCCCCAGUAGUC